rnacentral:rRNA from 1 species
UACGUAGGUGGCAAGCGUUGUCCGGAUUUACUGGGCGUAAAGAGCGCGCAGGCGGUCGGAUCAGUCGAAUGUGAAAGCCCCCGGCUCAACUGGGGAGGGUCAUUCGAUACUGUUCGACUCGAAGGCAGGAGAGGGAAGUGGAAUUCCGGGUGUAGUGGUGAAAUGCGUAGAUAUCCGGAGGAACACCAGUGGCGAAGGCGGCUUUCUGGCCUAUUCUUGACGCUGAGGCGCGAAAGCUAGGGGAGCGAACGGG